rnacentral:rRNA from 1 species
GUCUUUUUGUAUAAUAAUUUAAAGUCUUGCCUGCCCMCUGAAUAUUUAAAUGGCUGCGGUAUUUUGACCGUGCAAAGGUAGCAUAAUCAUUAGUUUUUUAAUUGAAAGCUGGAAUGAAUGGUAGAAUAAGAGAAAAGCUGUCUCAAAUUAAUUAUUUUAAAAUUUUAUUUUUAAGUUAAAAAGCUUAAAUUUUUUUAAAAGACGAGAAGACCCUAUAGAGUUUAAUAAAAAUUGUAAAUAUUUUUUUAAUGAUUAUUUAUUUAUUUAUAAAAUUUAUUUUGUUGGGGUGAUGAAAAAAUUAAAUAAACUUUUUUUAUAAUUAAACAUUGAUUUAUGAUUAAUUGAUCCAAAUAUUUUGAUUAAAAGAAUAAAUUACCUUAGGGAUAACAGCGUAAUUUUUUCAGAGAGUUCUAAUCGAAGAAAAAGAUUGCGACCUCGAUGUUGGAUUAAAAUUAAUUAUUGGUGUAGAAGCUAAUUUAUUAGGUCUGUUCGACCUUUAAAAUUUUACA